rnacentral:rRNA from 1 species
CUACCCUUGACAUAGAAGGAAUCCCGAAGAGAUUUGGGAGUGCUCGAAAGAGAACCUUUACACAGGUGCUGCAUGGCUGUCGUCAGCUCGUGUCGUGAGAUGUUGGGUUAAGUCCCGCAACGAGCGCAACCCUUGUCAUUAGUUGCUACGAAAGGGCACUCUAAUGAGACUGCCGGUGACAAACCGGAGGAAGGUGGGGAUGACGUCAAGUCCUCAUGGCCCUUAUGGGUAGGGCUUCACACGUCAUACAAUGGUACAUACAGAGGGCCGCCAACCCGCGAGGGGGAGCUAAUCCCAGAAAGUGUAUCGUAGUCCGGAUUGUAGUCUGCAACUCGACUACAUGAAGUUGGAAUCGCUAGUAAUCGCGGAUCAGCAUGUCGCGGUGAAUACGUUCCC